GCCCCUGUGAUGCAAUUGGUAGACAUGGCUCGCUUAAAACGAGUUUAUUGCAGGUUCGAUUCCUGUCAGGGGUA
rnacentral:tRNA from 1 species